UGGGGAAUCUUAGACAAUGGGGGCAACCCUGAUCUAGCCAUGCCGCGUGAGUGAUGAAGGCCUUAGGGUUGUAAAGCUCUUUCAGCUGGGAAGAUAAUGACGGUACCAGCAGAAGAAGCCCCGGCUAACUCCGUGCCAGCAGCCGCGGUAAUACGGAGGGGGCUAGCGUUGUUCGGAAUUACUGGGCGUAAAGCGCACGUAGGCGGACUGGAAAGUUGGGGGUGAAAUCCCGGGGCUCAACCUCGGAACUGCCUUCAAAACUAUCAGUCUGGAGUUCGAGAGAGGUGAGUGGAAUUCCGAGUGUAGAGGUGAAAUUCGUAGAUAUUCGGAGGAACACCAGUGGCGAAGGCGGCUCACUGGCUCGAUACUGACGCUGAGGUGCGAAAGCGUGGGGAGCAAA
rnacentral:rRNA from 1 species